GAUGAACGCUGGCGGCGUGCCUAAUACAUGCAAGUCGAGCGAACGGACGAGAAGCUUGCUUCUCUGAUGUUAGCGGCGGACGGGUGAGUAACACGUGGAUAACCUACCUAUAAGACUGGGAUAACUUCGGGAAACCGUAGCUAAUACCGGAUAAUAUUUUGAACCGCAUGGUUCAAAAGUGAAAGACGGUCUUGCUGUCACUUAUAGAUGGAUCCGCGCUGCAUUAGCUAGUUGGUAAGGUAACGGCUUACCAAGGCAACGAUGCAUAGCCGACCUGAGAGGGUGAUCGGCCACACGGGAACUGGGACACGUUCCAGACUCCUACGGGAGGCAGCAGUAGGGAAUCUUCCGCAAUGGGCGAAAGCCUGACGGAGCAACGCCGCGUGAGUGAUGAAGGUCUUCGGAUCGUAAAACUCUGUUAUUAGGGAAGAACAUAUGUGUAAGUACCUGUGCACAUCUUGACGGUACCUAAUCAGAAAGCCACGGCUAACUACGUG
rnacentral:rRNA from 1 species